CCCCUGGUGGCCACUCCCCGCGUUGCGUCGGGGAAACCCGAGGCCUCCAGGCGCGCGCACAGGGCGGCCCCACGCAUAACCUGGACGUGCUCCUGGGCGCGGGGUUCUGGAAACAUCGACCCAGGGAAUGGACCGAAAGUACCGAUGUCGUCAAAGGGGCUGCUUCUGGGGAGAAGGCGAGGGGCCUCGCCACUGAAGCCGGGAACAGGGCCCGCUGCUGGGACUCAAUGAAUCUGGACAGUUAAAAGCAAAUAAGAUGGGAAAAACCGAAACCGUAAGAGAAAGAUUCACUUGUCAACUUGUCAUAACAAUAAUAGUAAAAAUGAUAGCACAGCAGCUUUAGUCACCACAGCCAAGCGGAAGGAGAUGUCCAAAUGUCCAUCCAUAAAUGAAAAAUCAAAAUGUGGAGACGCACACAGGAAGGAUCGCCGGCCUGAAAGGAAGUUUCCACGCCGCUGCCCCGUGCAGGGACCUGGAGACACGAUGCUGAGUGCCCCUGGCCAGGCACAAGAGGACGCCCCCUGUGCGUGGUUCCACUCAGAGGCCCCGCGGUGGCCAGACCCGGCCAGAAAGUGGGAUGGGGGCGCA
rnacentral:lncRNA from 10 species